CCUUGUGCCAAGCAGCCGCGGUAAUUCCAGCUCCAAUAGCGUAUAUUAAAGUUGUUGCGGUAAAAAAGCUCGUAGUUGGAUUUCUGUUGAAGACGUCCGGUCCAUACCACGUAUGCGCAUCUGGCUCGGCUUCGGCAUCCUCUCGAAAGACGUUUCUGCGCUUGAUUGCGUGGAGCGGAUCUCGGGACUUUUACUUUGAGGAAAUUAGAGUGUUCACGGCAGGCUAUCGCCAGAAUACAUUAGCAUGGAAUAAUACUAUAGGAUCUCGGUUCUAUUUUGUUGGUUUCUAGAAUUGAGAUAAUGAUUAAUAGGGACAAUUGGGGGCAUUCGUAUCAACACGUUAGAGGUGAAAUUCUUGGAUCGUGUUGCGACGAACUACUGCGAAAGCAUUUGCCAAGGAUGUUUUCAUUGAUCAAGAACGAAAGUAAGGGGAUCGAAGACGAUUAGAUACCGUCGUAGUCUUUACCAUAAACUAUGCCAACUAGAGAUGGGACAUCGUUCACUUAAGACUUGUUCCGCACCUUAUGAGAUAUCAAAGUCUUUGGGUUCCGGGGGGAGUAUGGUCGCAAGUCUGAAACUUAAAGGAAUUGACGGAAGGGCACCACCAGGAGUGGAGCCUGCGGCUUAAUUUGACUCAACACGGGGAAACUCACCAGGUCCAGACAUAAUAAGGAUUGACAGAUUGAUAGCUCUUUCUUGAUUUUAUGGGUGGUGGUGCAUGGCCGUUCUUAGUUCGUGGAGUGAUUUGUCUGCUUAAUUGCGUUAACGAACGAGACCUUAACCUGCUAAAUAGGAGCGCCUAUCUCCGGAUAAGCGCCUUUCUUCUUAGAGGGACUUUAUGCGUUUCAGCAUGAGGAAGUUUGAGGCUAAAACAGGUCUGUGAUGCCCAAGGGCGAAUC
rnacentral:rRNA from 1 species